rnacentral:rRNA from 1 species
UACGAAGGGGGCUAGCGUUGCUCGGAAUUACUGGGCGUAAAGGGCGCGUAGGCGGAUUGACAAGUUGGGGGUGAAAGCCCGGGGCUCAACCUCGGAAUUGCCCUCAAAACUGUUAAUCUGGAGUAUGGUAGAGGUAAGUGGAAUUCCGAGUGUAGAGGUGAAAUUCGUAGAUAUUCGGAGGAACACCGGUGGCGAAGGCGACUUACUGGACCAUUACUGACGCUGAGGAGCGAAAGCGUGGGGAGCGAACAGG